GACGAACGCUGGCGGCGUGCCUAACACAUGCAAGUCGAACGGACAGUUCCGGGUUAUGUGGGGUGCUCGAGUGGCGAACUGGUGAGUUACCCGUGAGUACCCUGUCCUUCACUUAGGGUUAUCCUCAUGAAACUUGGGCCCUUACCGGGUAGGAGUUCCUGCCUCUUGGUGGGGGUUGGAAUGUUUCGGCGGUUGGGGAUGGACUCGCGGCUCCUCAGCUUGUAGGUGGGGUAGUGGCGUACCAAGGCUUUGACGGGUAGCCGGCCUGAGAGGGUGACCGGCCACAUUGGGACUGGGAUACGGCCCAGACUCCUACGGGAGGCAGCAGUGGAGAAUAUUGCACAAUGGGCGGAAGCCUGAUGCAGCAACGCCGCGUGCGGGAUGACGGCCUUCGGGUUGUAAACCGCUUUCGCCUGUGACGAAGCGUGAGUGACGGUAAUGGGUAAAGAAGCACCGGCUAACUACGUG
rnacentral:rRNA from 1 species